GGCUGUAUAACAAAAUUUCCUCAAAAAUUCUAAGUUAAAGACGGGGAGGUAAGCUCCCCGGCAUGAAAUUUAAACAACAAAUUUCAUGAGAAUUCUUAAAUUAAGGACGGGGAGGUAAGCUCCCCGGCAUGAAAUUUAAGCAAUAAAUUUUCGUAAAAUUUUCUAAGUUAAAAAAGGGAGACAAGCUCUCCGGCAUAUUCAAACUAUCUAAAGUUUGAAACGGGGAGAUAGGCUCCCCGUCACUUAAAUAAACUAUCUAAAGUUUGAAACGGGGAGAUAGGCUCCCCGUCA
rnacentral:lncRNA from 1 species